rnacentral:rRNA from 1 species
GACGAACGCUGGCGGCGUGCUUAACACAUGCAAGUCGAACGGAAAGGCCCUGCUUUUGUGGGGUGCUCGAGUGGCGAACGGGUGAGUAACACGUGAGUAACCUGCCCUUGACUUUGGGAUAACUUCAGGAAACUGGGGCUAAUACCGGAUAGGAGCUCCUGCUGCAUGGUGGGGGUUGGAAAGUUUCGGCGGUUGGGGAUGGACUCGCGGCUUAUCAGCUUGUUGGUGGGGUAGUGGCUUACCAAGGCUUUGACGGGUAGCCGGCCUGGGAGGGUGACCGGCGACAUGGGGACUGAGAUACGGCCCAGACUCCUACGGGAGGCAGCAGGGGGGAAUAUUGCACAAUGGGCGGAAGCCUGAUGCAGCAACGCCGCGUGCGGGAUGACGGCCUUCGGGUUGUAAACCGCUUUCGCCUGUGACGAAGCGGGAGUGACGGUAAUGGGUAAAGAAGCACCGGCUAACUACGUG